rnacentral:rRNA from 1 species
UACGUAGGGAGCAAGCGUUGUCCGGAAUCAUUGGGCGUAAAGCGCGCGUAGGUGGCCCCGUAAGUCCGCUGUGAAAGUCAAAGGCUCAACCUUUGAAAGCCGGUGGAUACUGUGGGACUAGAGUACGGAAGAGGCGAGUGGAAUUCCUGGUGUAGCGGUGAAAUGCGCAGAUAUCAGGAGGAACACCUGUGGCGAAAGCGGCUCACUGGACCACAACUGACGCUGAGGCGCGAAAGCUAGGGGAGCAAACAGG